AGAGUUUGAUCCUGGCUCAGAUUGAACGCUGGCGGAAUGCUUUACACAUGCAAGUCGAGCGGCAGCGCGGGGGCAACCCUGGCGGCGAGCGGCGAACGGGUGAGUAAUACAUCGGAACGUGUCCUUGAGUGGGGGAUAGCUCGGCGAAAGCCGGAUUAAUACCGCAUAAGCUCUGAGGAGGAAAGCGGGGGAUUCGCAAGGACCUCGCGCCGUUGGAGCGGCCGAUGUCGGAUUAGCUAGUUGGUGGGGUAAAGGCCCACCAAGGCGACGAUCCGUAGCUGGUCUGAGAGGAUGAUCAGCCACACUGGAACUGAGACACGGUCCAGACUCCUACGGGAGGCAGCAGUGGGGAAUUUUGGACAAUGGGGGCAACCCUGAUCCAGCCAUUCCGCGUGAGUGAAGAACGCCUUCGGGUUGUAAAGCUCUUUCGGACGGAACGAUAAUGGUUACGGCUAACACCUGUGACUGAUGACGGUACCGUAUCGACGAAGCACCGGCUAACUACGUGCCAGCAGCCGCGGUAUUACGUAGGGUGCGAGCGUUAAUCACGAAUGACUGGGCGUACAGCGCUGCGGCUGGCUGGCGAGCUCAACGUNAUGGGUGCUGACCAUCCCACCGGGNCCUGCAAGGCCAUGUGGNAAUUCUGGCGGCCCUUGGAAAAACCGUAACCGGUUUCGCCCUACCAAAGUUUGUUAGGGCAGCAACGGGUGGGGCGUAGUAAAUUUUCCACCCGUUGUUAGGCAGUUGCAACUUGCGGUAGAAAAUGGUUGACGAACCACCGAGUCGCUAAAGCAUG
rnacentral:rRNA from 1 species